CGUAUUUGUAAUUCUUCAACAGCAGUGAAAGACACGACACAGCAAAGUGUAAGAAUCAGAAUGGAUGGUGCAUUCAGAAGAUGGAGGAAGAGGCAAAAAGGCCAACCUUUUUAUUUUAAACCCAAUCUUUUGGGUUUCCUCUCAUAAUCACAUCAAAAAUGUGUGAGAAUCAGAAAAAGGAGGGAACAAAAGGAAAACAGGAACCGAAUGAUAUCAUCUCCCCACCGUCACCGCUCAAAUUAGGUACAAAAGUUACUCUGUAUUCAAAGCAAUUCAAUUCCUUCUCUCAUUCUUUCCGUUGGCGGUCUUUCGAUGCGGUGGUAUAAUCCCGAAGCAAGGCAAGAAGUAGCUGUGUUUGGAGAUACUGUUGCUCAAACAUGUGUCGCAAUAAACUGCACCCACUACCGAGAUUCGAGUGACCGACGCUGGGGUUUCAGCUGUAAGGCCAAACAAGUUAGCGAAGAAAGAUAGUAAAAAAAGGAGGAGAGAAAUGGUUGGAUCCAUAAGAAAGACUGAAGGAGGGAGGAGGUUGAGCAUCAAUGGGUAAGUCCUUAAAAUUUUGAAGCGUUUGUUUGCUAUAUACUGUUUGCAUAUAAUGUGCCCGUGAGUUCUUGGUGUUAGACCAACUGUAAUGAGAAAAGAGAAAAUGAUUAUUGUAUUCACUACAAACAAAGACAUGUGAAGAAGGUUUUUGGCUGAAUGUGGGGGCAAGCGUAAAAUGAAAGGGGUUUGUAGUUUAAGUCUUUUUAGGCAGAUUCGGAGAUAAAUGGGAUUGAUUAAAAGGGUGUUUGAUUUCCUAGAUCUGGAAAGAUGUUAUGAACAAGCCUUUCUUGUUUCUACCGACUGUCCAAUAAAUGGAACUUCCAUUGUCUUUAGCACCCAAGAAAGGCCGUGAAAAAAGAAGAAGAAAUGUGGAGCCUUGUUAGGCAAUUUCAUAGACUUCAUUAGGAACAGCAGUGAAUAAAAUAAAAGCUCCGGUUGAUUAGGAAAAGGAUUCUUUUAAGCCUAAUCCUCCACCCUUCUAGACAGUCUUGUUUUUUGCAUGGGUGCCACGGCGUCUAGACUACUAUAUAUUAUCCUUUUUUUUUUUUCUUUUUUUCUUUUUUGUUCUUUUCCCAUUCCAUUUGAUUAUUCUAAAUCCGUGUAUACGAAGCUAAGAAGAUCUUAAUAUCGAUGCUUGUAAUAAUUAACAAAUAUGGCAUGUAACUCUAAUGUGAACUUAUAUGUUUAGGCUACAUGUACCAAAUUUGAGUUUAAAACUAGGGACUUAAGAUUUACCAUUUUGAUUUCUUUUUAUGAGAAAUGAGGAAAACAUAUUAAACUAAACGGGAGAACGCAGCCUAGAGGCCGUAGGGAAUAGAAGGUUAUCACAGAACAACCUCUCAGCUCAAAUAAAUUUGAAGUUUUUUGGGAUUGGGAUGUUCCUAUGAGCCAAUGACCCAAACAACUUGAUGAUUCAACCUGAAAAUAGAUGGUUGGGUUGGAUUGGAUCGUGAUACCUAGUCGAGUCAUUCGAGUUAUCAACUCAACAAACCCAAAAUUAUGGGGUGGUCCAAAAAUUUUCUCCCACCCAACCUUAUUCCACCGGUAACUAGAGAUUUAUGUUAAAUGUAAUAUGCAAUAUGAAUUGAAAUGUUGAAUGAGGUAAGUUAUAUGUGUACAUGUAUGAAAGCUGUGUAUUUAAUGGGUUAGAUAGAAUCAUAUACGGAUAUUGAAAAGUGAUUCCUAUUUGUGAGCAGUUGAAAGUUACUAUUUUACUGCCUGAUACAAUGAUGGAUGUUUUCCAACUA